rnacentral:tRNA from 1 species
AUUUAAGUAGUUUAUAAAAAAUUUUAAUUUGUGGAGUUAAAGAUAUGAGAAAUCAUCUUAAAUA